rnacentral:pre_miRNA from 7 species
AACUAGAAAAGGUGUGUAAGACCCCCUUUCGGGGACCCACACUCUAGUCUCCGGAGCGAGAGCACCCAAAGAAACACGAGAAUCC